rnacentral:piRNA from 1 species
UAGAACACAUGACCUAGCUGAGGAUGACCC